CGCGUGCGGAGGGAAGUGGAAAAAAAGUGCGAGAGAGAGGACCGUUCGAGCACUUCCUCACAGCCCCAGAAUUGUGUUGCUUGUGUCACUGAGGAGUGUGGAACGAGAGAGAGCAGUGAGCACGGGGAGUGCAGAGACACAGGAGCAGAGAGCACUAAACAGGGACUUUUUGGGAAGAAGACACGACACGGGAGUAAAGGGAGAGC